rnacentral:rRNA from 1 species
UACGUAGGGGGCUAGCGUUGUCCGGAUUUAUUGGGCGUAAAGAGCGUGUAGGCGCCAGGUAGGUCUGCUGUGAAAACUCGGAGGCUUAACCUCGAGAUGCGGCGGAAACCAUCUGGCUAGAGUCCGGAAGAGGAGAAUGGAAUUCCCGGUGUAGUGGUGAAAUGCGUAGAUAUCGGGAGGAACACCAGUGGCGAAGGCGACUACCUGGCCUGUUUCUUG